rnacentral:lncRNA from 1 species
UUUUUAUUAAUUAUUUUCCAUGAUAACAUGAUUGGAAAUAAUAUAUGAAGUGAUAAUUAGAAUUUAUAUAAUAUAUAUUUGAUUAUAUGAAUUGUUCAGAAUAUUUAAAUCAAGUAUUUUAACUUGAUAUGCAAAAGAGAAGUCAGAUAUUAGAUCCAAAUCCUGAAUUGGGAUUGUGAUCAAGAGAUGAGAAUAAUAAUAUUAUAUUAUUGUUAUAAUGAUUUUAC